rnacentral:tRNA from 1 species
AGAAAAUCUUGGAGUGAAACGGGGCUGCUAACUUUGUUUUGGGUGAUUCGAUUUUAUCCAUUUUCUU